rnacentral:rRNA from 1 species
UACGUAGGGUGCAAGCGUUAAUCGGAAUUACUGGGCGUAAAGCGUGCGCAGGCGGUUUUGUAAGUCAGGCGUGAAAGCCCCGGGCUCAACCUGGGAACGGCGCUUGAUACUGCGUUGCUUGAGGACGGGAGAGGAUGGUGGAAUUCCCAGUGUAGAGGUGAAAUUCGUAGAUAUUGGGAAGAACACCGGUGGCGAAGGCGAACUACCUGGCCCAUUCUUGACGCUG